GUGUCCCUGCUCUUUACCCGUGCCGUGUAUGUGGUGAUAAUGGCACUGGAUUUCACUACGGUGUUUUGUGUUGUGAAGGGUGCAAGGGAUUUUUCUUUCGGACGAUACGUGGAAAUAAGCAAUACAGGCAAUGCAAAAAUCCAAGUAAAUGCUUGAUAUUGCAAUCCAACAGAAAUAGAUGCAGGUUUUGCAGGAUGCAGCGGUGUUUUGAUGUCGGGAUGUCUUAUGAAGCUGUGAAGAUGGGAAGAUGGUCUAAGGCAGACCACAGAGGCCUGAAACCAACACUGGUGACCAAGGCCCUACAUCAUGAUGACCUUAUAUUAACAGGUUUAUUCCGCUUUCGCAAAAGCCUGCAGCAACCAUAACAAUCAGCUGAACAAUGAGCCGAGUUUAGAGGCUGACGGCAGUUUCUUCAUUCGGAAUGGCAUUUUGUUCGCAACAACUUUUGCAAAACAACUUAAAGAUUUUACCUCCCUUGGUCGUGAGGUUCAACACGAACAGAUCAAGACAGCGGUAAUUGAAAUGUCUGUGAUGUUCGAAGAGGUCAGACUUAAGACAGCAGGUUCCGAAGAUUGUACAAUAUAUACAAGGAAAACGGAAAAUUCUGUCAUAACAGUUAUGCGAAAUAAGGGGAAGAAACUAACGCAAAAACUAAUGUCGCUUAAUCUUACGCAAGCAGAGUUAUCUCUUCUGCUCGCUGUAAUUUUGUUCUGUUCAGACCGCCACUGCUCAGACACUGCGGACUGUAAGAAACUCGAAUGGAUAGAAGAAUCGUUACUGUCAGCUUUGAAAUACCAGCUUGUUUUGAACCACACUAAACAUUUAGGCUUUUUACCUCAAAUAAUUGAGUUUAUAUGCUGUUUAAGGGGACUAACUAUCCAGUAUUUAGACGACAUAUUAAGAUUCAAGUGAACCUAGACAAUAUAAAGGAAUACUUUUCGUUUUGCCACGGUUAAAAAUAUCAUCUAAUCUGGAAAAAAACUUCGUUUGCAGGGGAUUGUAAUGGUUUACACUGCCAGAUUGGUUUCUGCUUAGGCGACGCGUACCACAACUGUACCCUGGCAACUAUCAAACAAAAAUCUUUUUUAAUUUUCACUGAUAUGUGUAGAUGCUUCCUAAGGACUUUUUGAUAAUAUCCACCCGCUUUUAUUAAACACCUCCAUUGCUAGUUAUUUGAUCAGUUGUACUUUAAACACGGUAAAAAUAUCUCUUUCAGGGAUAUCAGGUUACACGAUUGUGCAUAAAACAUGUUUAAAUAAUAGCUGCAAGCGUCAGACUUGCAUAAAAGUACAAGGUUAUUUGCAACAAAAUACUAUAGAAAGAUCGUGUUAUAGAGCGCAAAAAGGACAAUAAUAUAGGCCAUUUUGUAACCCUGAUGCCCUUUAUGACAAAGCUACUCUUGCGUACAAGUGUAUAUAGUUCAUUUGAAUGUUAACUAAUAUUACAAGCACGUAAAUACGUUAGAGGACUUAUUUUACCUGUAAUCAGCAAAAUAUACUCUCAUUUUGAUAAAGCAGUUUUUAAAUUUGAACAUCCCUAGUUGCACGUAUACACUUUAAGGGCACAUAAUGUUUGUUAAGUGAUCAGGGUACAGUAAUAAAAUUGGGGCAAAAUGAGAAAAAAUUAAAAUGUGUGAUCGCAACUAAAAACCAGAUGCGUGUCCAUAGGACACUGGUGCCCCCACUUCCUGUCACUGUACAUGGUUUCAUGACUCUAGGUGAAACAUUUUUAAGAUAUAUGAAACACAAAAUUUAAGCACUUUAUGUGUAUUUUCACUUAGAUAAGGACCCUAACUUUAGCUGGGCUGAGUGAAUCCAAAUCGCACAACUGCGCAAGCUAAAUUACAACCCUUUAAUAUUUUAUGACUCUUGGUCCAUACAUUUUGAGAUACAUGGGACACAAAUUUACAGCCCUUAAUGCAUAUUUUGACUAAGUCAAGGGCCAUCACUCUGGUCUUGCGGACUGAAAUCCAAAACAAAAACUCACAUAGAUCUACUGGAUAAUAUUCCGAAAUGGUUUCAUGACUCUAGGUAAAAUAUUUGUAAGACAUAUGCAGCACAAACUUUUAAGCAAUUUAAAUGUAUUUUUCAGUAAAUCAAAGACCAUUACUGUGGUCCGGCUGAGCGAAAUGACAGACAGAAUAUCGGAUGCACAACUUCACAUGCUAUAUAACAAUCCUUUGAUGUUUAAUGUUUCUAAGCCAACCUUUAGAGAUACAUGCGAUACAAAUUUGUAUGUCAUGUAUGCAUAUAUUUCACUAAAUCAAGGGCCAUAAUUCUGGUCUGACCCAUAGAAAUCUUAGGUGUAAAUUAUUCAAAUGCUGUAUAAUAUUCCUAUUAUAUUUCAGGACCCUCAAAUUUGUUUUACGACACGUACGACACAAACACUUAUGCAUAUUUCUGACUAAGUCUGAUUGAGUGAAAUCUCAAAAAAUACCCAGACGUACAUCUUCAUACGCUGAAUAAUACUCCUAUAAUGUUUCAUAAUCCUAGGUCAAAUACUUUUUGAGAUUCACGAGACACAAACUUUCAGGCCCUUUUUAUGCAUAUUUU
rnacentral:lncRNA from 1 species